AUUGAACGCUGGCGGCAUGCUUUACACAUGCAAGUCGAACGGCAGCGCGGGCUUCGGUCUUUCUGCGAGUGGCGAACGGGGGAGUAAUGCAUCGGAACGUGCCCAUGAGUGGUGGAUAGCCCUGCGAAAGCCGAAUUAUUACCGCAUACGACCUGAGUGUGAAAGCGGGGGACCGAAAGGCCUCGCGCUAUUGGCGCGGCCGAUGUCGGAUUAGCUAGUUGGUGGGGGAAAGGCUUACCAAGGCGAAGAUCCGUAGCUGGUCUGAGAGGGCGACCAGCCACACUGGGAAUGAGACACGGCCCAGACUCCUACGGGAGGCAGCAGUGGGGAAUUUUGGACAAUGGGGGCAAACCUGAUCCAGCCAUGCCGCGUGGGGGAAGAAGGCCUUCGGGUUGUAAAACCCUUUUGUUCGGGAAGAAAACCUGUUGGCUAAUACCCCGGGGGGAUGACGGUAACGGAAGAAUAAGCACCGGCUAACUACGUG
rnacentral:rRNA from 1 species